AAUAUUGGACAAUGGGGGCAACCCUGAUCCAGCCAUGCCUCGUGUGUGAAGAAUGUCUUCGUAUUGUAAAGCACUUUCAUUUGGGAGGAAGGGCUUUAGGCUAAUACCCUGAAGUUUUGACGUUACCAACAGAAUAAGCACCGGCGAACUCUGUGCCAGCAGCCGCGGUAAUACAGAGGGUGCAAGCGUUAAUCGGAAUUACUGGGCGUAAAGCGAGCGUAAGUGGUUCAGUAAGAUGGGUGUGAAAUCACCGGGCUUAACCUGGGAACUGCUUUCAUAACUGCUGAGCUAGAGUACGGUAGAGGGUAGUGGAAUUUCCUGUGUAGCGGUGAAAUGCGUAGAUAUAGGAAGGAAAACCAGUGGCGAAGGCGACUACCUGGACUGAUACCGACACUGAGGUGCGAAAGCGUGGGGAGCAAAC
rnacentral:rRNA from 1 species